rnacentral:tRNA from 1 species
GGGCGCAUAACUCAGUGGUAGAGUGCCUCCUUCACACGGAGGAAGUCGUAGGUUCAAGUCCUACUGUGCCCACCA